UAUCCAUCAAUAUCUACAUUUACAUCUACGCUAUUGCAGUGAAUUUUCUCAAGUUUCAUAAAUAAAGACUUCAUGAAAGUGACUUGUGCAAAGAACUGGAAAAGUUUUCAUUAUAAGACAUGACAUCUCGGUUAAUCCAUCAGCAUGUCUCCGCCUCAUUCAUAUUGAUUUAAUGGAGUAACAAUCAUGUAAUAGGAAAGUCUUUCACCUUAUUUGAUUCAACUACCAAACAAAAGCUCAAACUCAUUUGUCAAACACGUUUUUGGAAAAAUGCUCAGCUUUAUGGAGGCAAAUAUAACUUGUCUCCAACAUUCUUGGUCUUGUGGGAUAGAAUUUUUGGAACCCAUCUGCCUUAUUCACUUGAGAAGAGAGCCGAACCAAAGCAAUGUUUAUUCUGAGUGUGUUUUAUUCUUCUCAAUGAUUUGACUAAGUUAAGUCCUUGCUGGUUUAAUGCAUGCGCAACAAGACUUUUCUUUGUUUCUUUCUCUGCCUAGUGGUAGUGCAACUGCCAAGAAGAUCACUUUUAUUGAGUAACAAUCGGGCAAAAAGACAGACAUUAAUUUACAUGAUGCGAAGACUUGGUAUAAAGCAAAGACCAAUGCUAGAAGAAGACCAAGACAUUCUCAUAUCAUUUUCCUUUUGGGUCCGCAAAAAAUAGUUUCUAAAUUGUAAAAGUUUGAGAAGAGAAAAUGAAAGUUAACCAUUCUUUCUUUUUCCUUUUUCUAUCAUUUUCUUUCUAUGUUGAAUCAACGUCAUGAGAUAAAGGCAGAUAGAAUGAUUGUGUAAUGUGAAGAGAAAAUAAUUUUUUUAUUUGUUUGCAUACUUAUGUUUUUUAUCCAGGUGUCAUAUGAAUGUCUUAGUUUUUUUUUUUUUUAAAUUUUUAUUAUCUUAUUCAGUUUUCAAUUUUGAAAAUUUUGAAUCUAUCAAUCAUACAUUACAAUUAGCUUCUAUAUAUAUAUAUAUCAUAGAAUCAAAUUAUAUUGGUGAAAAACUAAUUACUUUUACAUUUUCUACAAUGUCAUGUACGAUUAAAUUUUAGAAAACUGAUUUAUAGAUUUAAUAAAUUAUUUUUAUACACAUGUAAGUUUCGAGUUAAUCCAAUAUCUUUAUCAUAUCGAUCGAGAAUAAUAUAUUUUUCAAUAUACAUUUAACAAUUGAAAUUUUAUUGUAUCAAAUUGUUAAAUAUUUUUAAUUAACUUAAAAUUUUGUCAUGUAUAAUUUACGUGAGUAGUGCAUGCAGAUUAACGGUUGAAUUAAGCAAAUAUAUGUCGUACAAAAAGAUAUGAAAUUGUGUUUUACACCGAAAUAACCUACAAUAAAAAGGUAGUAGGCCAAGCUAUUGAAAAAGGUAUACUAAUUCAAGUGGUUGUUGGCUGUUCUUGAUGUUUUCUUCUACUGCUGAUGGCUUUAAUGGCAGCUUGUUUGAACCCUGCCUGGUUUUUUGUUCUUUUCGGGUUUGGACCCUGCCUGGUGUUCUGUGUUUGGGUGGGAGUUUGCUGAUUUUUGUUUGUAAGGAUGGAAGAUAUACUAUUUAGAUGUAAAGUCAGCUUUUCUAAAUGGUUAUCUGAUAGGGGACAUUUUUGUUAAACAACCUAAAUGGUGUGAAGAACAAGGGUCAAAGCAUAAGGUCUGCAAAUUAGUUAAGGCAUUGUAUGGUCUUCAACAAGCACCUAGGACCUGGUAUGACAGGGUAGAUGCUUAUUUCACAGGUCAAGAUUUUCAAAAAAGUGUGAAUGAAUCAACUUUAUAUGUGAAAUUGUUUGGUAAUACUGCUGCAUUGAUUAUUGCUUUGUUUGUUGAUGAUCUGUUAAUAACUAGACCGGAUGAAAAUGUGUUGCAAGAAUUCAAAAAGUCAGAUGAUGAAUGUGUUUGAGAUGACAGACUUGGGAUUAAUGACUUAUUUUUUUGGAAUGGAAGUUCUUCAAACCAUUGAGGGAGUUUGUUUGCAUCAGGCUAAGUAUGGAAAGUAUAUAUUAAAGAAAUUUAGUAUGUUUUCUUGCAUAACAAUGAGUACUCCACUGGCAUCAAGAGACAAGUUUAGUAGAGAAUGUUGGAGUUCUUAAGAAAGAGAAAGAACAUGAAAACGGAGGCAAACUUCACUGCAUUUCUUCAUUAAUAGCUUAUACAUAUUUAUAUUACAUAGAAACCCACUUAAGUUAAAGUAAAUAGUUAAACUAAAUCUAGUUACAACUUAACUAGCCAUUAUCACUAGAAACCAUGGUGACCAUUAUGAUUUUAUUUACAAAAGGACAAGAAACAACAGACAUAUUUUGACACAUAGCAACUGUGACAACCUAAAGCCUGGUCACGUCUUUCAUACUUAAAAGUCUACUUUCUAUUUGUGUUGUCAAAAAAAUAUCUUCAACCUUGACUGUUAAAGUAUCUUCAAUAUGAUCUCAAUAGUCUAACACACCUCCUUGAGAUCAUUUUUGAAGACUCCCAAUAGUGACCUUAGAGUUUGAAACCUAUUUGUUGGCAGCCCUUUAGUCAUGAUAUCUGCAACUUGAUCUUGAGAGCUGCAAUACUGCACAUCAAUCUCUUUGUUUUUGACAGCAUAACGUAUCAUAUGAAACCUCACCCAAAUGUGUCUUGUUCUUCCAUGUUGCAUCGAGUUUCUGGACAUAACUAUAGCUGAUUGGUUAUCCAUCCAAAGAACAGUAAGAUCAUUUUGAGAAAACCCCAGGUCAAACAAGAUUUUUCUCAACCAAAGGCUGUGAUUGGUUACAGCUGCAGCUGAGAUACACUCAGCUUCUGCCUAUGACUGUGCCACCACCUCCUGCUUCUUGGAGGCCCAUGAGAAAACACCAUUGCCAAAGGAGAAAAUGAAUCCAGUGGUACUCUUAGAGUCAUUGAGACUUCCAACCCAAUCACUAUCCGAGAAUCCUUGAAGAUGCUAGCUUUGUUCUCGACCAAAUCUGAUGCCAAAAUCAAUGCUGCCCUUAAUGUAUCUUAAGUUCCUUUUUGCAGCAGAUAGAUGAGUCAUUGUUGGCUGAUGCAUAAACCUGGAGAGCAAGCUUGUUCUAAACAUGAUGUCAGGUCUUGAAGAGGAUAAAUACAAGAGACUCCCUAUUAAUCUUCUGUAAAUAGUGGCAUCUGCUAACUCUUCAUUAUUGGACAAAGAAAUCUUAACAUUUGCAGCAAUAGGAGUAGGAGUGGCCUUGCAGUUUUGCAUCUUAAAUUUUUUGAGAAGCUCAGCUGCGUACUUUUGUUGAUGCAAUAUUAUAGACUUCUUGGCUUGGACAAAUUCAAGUCCAAGGAUAUAAGUCAUUAAGCCGAGAUCCGUCAUCUCAAAUUCUUCCAUCAUCUCCUUUUUGAACUUCAAUAACAGCUCAGUAUUAAGACUAGUAACAGGAAUAUCAUCAACAUAAAUCGAAACAAUGACUUGUUCACCUGCAGAAGAACAACAGACAUAGAGAGUUAGCUCACUCUCACUCCUAUAAAAUCCUUUAUUGCAGAGAUAGCUAUCAACUCUUGCAUACCAUGUCAUGACCCGGAACUCCCAUCAAGCCCAUGACAACCGCCGCGAUGUCUCGAUAGACAUUCAUUACCCGAAAUGCCUACUGAAACUUCACAAGGCUUUAACAUUAGUUUUUCACUCCCCCUGUGAGUAACAGUUACUAAAUAUCCUGUUUAAAAGUGUAUAAAUUACUUUUAAAUCAAAACAAUCAAAAGGAAAUUUUCUACGACACAGGGGUAUUUUGGUCAUUUUACUUAAAAAUUUCGAAACCUAAUAAAAAUACGAUAUACAAGUAAUAACCAUUCAUUUCAUGUCUAAAAUGAAGUUUAAUGGUCUAAAUCAUAAAUUAAAAAUGAACUUAUAGCCAUUCAAACUAAAUAAAAAUAUUAAAUAAAAUAUUCUAUUUUCUUAUAAAACAAUCUUAUAGAACUACGCGUAAAUAAUUUUUGUAACGUAAAAGCAAAAUCAAUUCAUACAUACAAUGGCAGAGUGAACCAGGUAUACAAAAUAUUCUACAAUGACAUGUGGGCCCCAUAAUAAACCAAUAUGUACAAAAAGGUAGACCUUCGACUUCUGAGUUUGUAAGUCCAAAGGUAUCCCUCGACGAAAUCUACUAUCUACCAACUAUCUUGAGAUUGAAAUGGGUAAAAAAAAGAAAAUGUGAGUUUUUAUAAACUCGGUGAGUAAACAAACAUCAUCUAAAAUAUCUAAAGUCGAGUAAAGGAAGACAACUUAAAAUAGUGCAUCGUACUAGGAUUCAUAACGUUUCAAACUCAUUUCAACUAAAUAAAAUAAUUUCAUUUUACUCAAAUAAUCAACAUGGCUUAUGAAUUUCCUAAAAAUUUGGCUCAUGCCAAAAAGUAGUACUCGAUGAUGCCUUGCGCCGGGGCAUCCAACCGAGUCCGUCAAGGCUGUUAAAGAAAAGUUCAUAUACGCAUAAAAUACAUUUUACGUUUAAAAGCAUAGCCGUUUCUUGGCAUUGGCUGAGUUCACCCUUACAUGGUGGUUUAGCGUGUAGUGAACUCUAAAACUUUACCUUAAGAGAUACCCUCCCCGCCUCUAGUACCAAGGUAAAAUAUAACUGGGUUUACUGUGCCCCUCUCUAAUAGGUUGGUCCACGGAAACCCGCCACUGCCGUGACUAAUCAUUACCCCACCAAAUCAAUAAAAGUUUCGACAGCAUGACAUGGCAAUUAUAUUACUACCCAGCUUGUUAAGGCAAAACAAACAGUUCAUACAAUUUCCACACAAUUUCCAAUUCAGCCAUUCAUGCCAAUAUCACCAUAAGCCAUUCAAUUCAAACCAUAAAUUUACAACACAAACAAACAGUCUCCAAUUACUCAAUUUCUAAAAUCAUCAUUCAAUUUCAAAAUGAUUUAUAAAACUCAUUUCAUUUAAUCACAUUUUACUUAUAAAACAUAAGGAUUUACCAUUUAAACUCAUUUUUCUAUAAAAUCACAAAAACGAAUAAAAACUACUUUAGAUAAUUAAGACGAUAAUAAGGUUACUCACAAUAUCGGGAGUCGAAGUACUCCUAGUCCCGAUCUUCG
rnacentral:lncRNA from 1 species